CUCAUAGAGCUUCACCCUGUCCAGGAUUCCAGGAUAGGAGUGUCCAUUGGUGCUAGGGUGCCAGUGGGCACUCUGCCACCAUGCCUGGGUCCUUGCUUUUCCCCAGCCCCCCUUGAGCUCACCAGGCCUGAGAGAGAAGGGAGGGAGGGAAAGGGAGGCAGGAAGGAGAGGGAAGGGGGGUGCUUUUCUCAGGCCUGGGGCCCCAGCUCUUUGUCCAGCUCCUUUUGCAUCUCAAAGCACCAGCCGCAUUCCAAGCGAGGAUUGGGUUGCCAUGACGAUAAGCACAAUGGGCUGGGGGGUGAAGUCACCCGCUUCCCAGGCUCUAGUCCACCCCCUUUUAUCCCCUGUCCUGGCACCCCACAGCCCCAGGCACCUUAAAGGGGAACCAACCCAGGUUCCUGGAUUCUGGGCUCUUGGCCAUGGAAAGUCCAGCCUCUAAGCAGACCCAUUUCCCCUCCCUUCCUGUUCAUCCCCACCAACUAGGGCUACUUGUUGGAGAGGAAUGCAAAGUUGUGAACAAAGUGCUGAACCGAGGCCUGUGAAGUCAGGGCCUUGGUUUUCUCUUCUGUAAAUGAUGAUCCCUUCCAGGUCAGAUGAUCCUUAUCCAGGUUGAUAAGACAGAUUCCAGGCCAUACCAACUAAGGGACCAGAUGUGAUGUGCCCCUCCACAGAUUGGCCUGGGUUUGGAGGCUUCUGGAGAAUUGUAAAGGGCAUCUAACCCAAUGCCCUCAUUUUACAGAGGGGAAAAUAGGUCAUGGAGGAGGAGUGACUUCACCAACAUCACUCAUAGGUGCUUGUGUCCAUGGUGAGAAAGGGAAAUGGAGAGAAGUGGCUGCAGUCCCCACCCAUGGAGAGGUCACUGAUCACACCCUUGUGAUGGACAAACUGCUCAGCACAGUCCCACCCACCCAGCCUCCUUGUCCUGGGCACGAGGUUUUUGCCUCUCUGAUUUGGAGUAUUGAGCCCUUCCUAGAGAGCUGCCAAAUGAGGGACAUUUCCUUCACCUGGAGAAGGAUGGGAAGGAGUCAGCACUUGACAUCUGCCACCCCACCCCAGAAUCAGUGCCACCCUUCACCGGCCCACCCAAACCUGGUCUCGUAUAUCAUCCCGCAGCUCCACCAGGAUCUGGUUGAAGAGGGUGAGUUGGGUGACCAGCGCCUUGGUCUGC